rnacentral:rRNA from 1 species
GUGGGGAAUCUUGCGCAAUGGGCGAAAGCCUGACGCAGCCAUGCCGCGUGAAUGAUGAAGGUCUUAGGAUUGUAAAAUUCUUUCACCGGGGACGAUAAUGACGGUACCCGGAGUAGAAGCUCCGGCUAACUUCGUGCCAGCAGCCGCGGUAAUACGAGGGGGGCUAGCGUUGCUCGGAAUUACUGGGCGUAAAGGGCGCGUAGGCGGACAGCUUAGUCAGAGGUGAAAGCCCAGGGCUCAACCUUGGAAUUGCCUUUGAUACUGGGUGUCUUGAGUUUGGGAGAGGUGAGUGGAACUCCGAGUGUAGAGGUGAAAUUCGUAGAUAUUCGGAAGAACACCAGUGGCGAAGGCGACUCACUGGCCCAAUACUGACGCUGAGGCGCGAAAGCGUGGGGAGCAAACAGGAUUAGAAACCCGUGUAGUCC